rnacentral:rRNA from 1 species
UACACACCGCCCGUCACGCCAUGGAAGCUCGGAGCGCCCGAAGUCGGUGCCGGAACCCGCAAGGGGCCAAGCCGCCGAAGGCGAGCCGAGUGACUGGGGCG